CCAAGCCCCAGAUAUAGCCCCAGGAAGUCCUGAGAACACGUGUCCCCGGUGGUUGGGUUACAGCUUGAUUUUACACAUUCUAGGGUUCAGGAGUUACAGGGAGACAUCAA